AGAGUUUGAUCAUGGCUCAGGACGAACGCUGGCGGCACGCUUAACACAUGCAAGUCGAACGGAGAACAUUGAGCUUGCUUAAUGUUCUUAGUGGCGGACGGGUGAGUAACACGUGAGUAACCUGCCUCUGAGAGUGGGAUAGCUUCUGGAAACGGAUGGUAAUACCGCAUAACAUCAUGGAUUCGCAUGUUUCUAUGAUCAAAGAAUUAUCGCUCAGAGAUGGACUCGCGUCUGAUUAGCUAGUUGGUAAGGUAACGGCUUACCAAGGCGACGAUCAGUAGCCGGACUGAGAGGUUGAUCGGCCACAUUGGGACUGAGACACGGCCCAGACCUCUACGGGAGCA
rnacentral:rRNA from 1 species